rnacentral:rRNA from 1 species
GUAAGGAAUCUUUCGCAAUGGGGGCAACCCUGACGAAGCAACACCGCGUGGAGGAUGAAGGCGUUUUCGUUGUAAACUCCUUUUCUGAGGGAAUAAAUCUGAAGGUACCUCAGGAAUAAGCGACGGCUAACUACGUGCCAGCAGCCGCGGUAAGACGUAGGUCGCGAGCGUUAUCCGGAAUUAUUGGGCGUAAAGAGUUCGUAGGUGGUUAGUUAAGUUGGAUGUCAAAGCCCGGAGCUCAACUCCGGUCAGGUGUCCAAAACUGACAAACUAGAGACAGGCAGAGGCAAGUGGAAUUCUGUAUGUAGGGGUAAUAUCCGUAGAUAUACAGAGGAACACCAAAAGCGAAGGCAGCUUGCUGGGCCUGUUCUGACACUCAAGAACGAAAGCGUGGGGAGCAAACGGGAUUAGAUACCCGGGUAGUCC